CCCAACUCCAAGGCGUAUGACAAUAAGUGAUGAAUAUCUUCUGAGUUUUGUAGCAUUAUUACUAUUAUCAUUCUAUUAUUAAGUAGCAGAAAAGUCUGAUCUACGUCAGAGAGAGAGAGAGAGAGAGAGAGAGAGAGAGAGAGAGAGAGAGAGAGAGAGAGCGCAGAAGAGAGCAUAAUAUUAACAACCCUAGUAUACGCCCCCUCCCUCGCUACACGGCUCCUCCAUUGAGAAGUUGGGCAUGCCCUCGACUGUGAUUGACAGGCCAGAUGGAUUCUCCGAACCAAUCAGGGAAGAAAUGCCCUUUUUGCUCAGAAUUUAGCCAGGAGCGGCUUAAACUAAAUUGUUUAAUACAGAGGCGUGCAGUCAACUGGAAGAGAUAUUUCACAGAGCAUUUCACUCACUAAUAGCUGAUGGAUGGCUAUGACAUUUCCAACAAAUUGCACUCAAAUUGUAGCUCCUAAAUAUUACCUAUAGCCCCUUUAAUUACUGUAUUUAAUUGUAUUUAGGCAUGUAUCAUCAGGGAUAUUUUAACAUCUUAGCUGCGUACAUACAUUAACGUCUUAGCAUAUUUGACGUAGCAUAUUGGUAGCACCGGGCUACAUGGGGUGGAGCCCUGCCGGCAGUGUAGCUGCUGCUAACUCUAAACAGGUGAUCCUGCAGCUCCACUCUCCUCCUCUCCACUCCUCUCCUCUCCCUCCUUUCCUCUCCUUCCCUUUUGUCCUCUCCUCUCCUCGCUCUCCUAUCCCUCUCCUCCAUUAUACUCCUCUCUAUUCUCCACCCUUUAUUCUCCUUCCUUUCUCUCCUCUCCCUUCAUCUCUUUCCAUCAUCUCCCUUUCUCUCCUCUUUUCUCCUCCCUUUCUCUCCUCUUCCCCUCCUCUCCUCUCCUCUCUUCUCUCUCCAGUCUCAUCAGUUAUUCCGACAGAGGAACAAUGCUUUCAUGUGGAACACGGAUACGCGGCAGAGAGGAGGAAUUUGAGUCAAUUUUUCAAACCUGGCAAUUCAUUUGUCAUCCUCGCUGGCUGAGGAAGGCCUGCCUCCCCCACCCUCCCCCCACCACCCGCCCUCCCA
ensembl:lncRNA